GAUGAACGCUGGCGGCGUGCCUAACACAUGCAAGUCGAGGGGCAUCACGGGUAGCAAUACCUGGUGGCGACCGGCGCAAGGGUGCGUAACGCGUGAGCAACAUGCCCUAUACAGGGGGAUAAUCCAGGGAAACUUGGUCUAAUAUCCCAUAGCAUUUAGAGGUGGCAUCACCAUUAAAUUAAAGCUUCGGUGGUAUAGGAUUGGCUCGCGUGACAUUAGCUAGAUGGUGGGGUAACGGCUCACCAUGGCUAUGAUGUCUAGGGGUUCUGAGAGGAAGACCCCCCACACUGGGACUGAGACACGGCCCAGACUCCUACGGGAGGCAGCAGUGAGGAAUAUUGGACAAUGGAUGGAAAUCUGAUCCAGCCAUGCCGCGUGCAGGAAGACGGCCCUAUGGGUUGUAAACUGCUUUUAUAUGGGAGCAAUAAGGUCUACGAGUAGACCGAUGAGAGUACCAUAUGAAUAAGCAUCGG
rnacentral:rRNA from 1 species